AGCUGGCGUCUCUGGGCAUGAUCCACAAAGAAUGUCUCUUCUGCAGGCCUCCGCAAAAUGAAUCAAUGCACAGCUUCCAAUACUUCCAGUGACUAUCCUGCCUAAGACCUGGAACACUUUUUGCCAGUGACGAAGUGUCAAACGUCCUUCCUUUCUACCCGCUCAGAUCAAAUGAUGAACGGCCCCAACUACCACGUGUUCAAACCCUUCUACACUAAGAGAGGGUGUGUGCAUAUGCAUUUGCAUUUCUAACGCUGCUGGAAGAUCCAGGAGUGGAUCUCCCAAUAAUUUUUCGUGAGUAAGCAGCAGCUAUGCAUGAAGGGUUUUGUUUUUUUAAAAUUUUGCUUCCCUGGUUUCAAAAACACGUGCACAAAGCUAUUCUUUGCCACAUUCAAACAGCAAUUCCCAGGGACUUUUUGAAGUCAGAAAAACUGGUGCCAGGGCCCCAGCUGUCCAGCUGCUCCAGACUAUUAAAAAUUGCUCCAUAGGGCUAUUCAUGGCCCUCCAAGUGUCCUGCCUAGCUGGCCCUGAACAGUUGAAGUCCUGUCCUUGCCAGGCACGCUACCCUUCUUUUCUGAAUGCAAAACAAAACAAAGAUGAUUGCCAAUAUUGUUCCUUUUGUUUUCUAUAAAUAAAAUAUUUCGGCAAAUGAGA